rnacentral:rRNA from 1 species
UACGGAGGGGGCUAGCGUUGUCCGGAAUCAUUGGGCGUAAAGCGCGCGUAGGCGGCUUUGUAAGUAAGAGGUGAAAGCCCGGAGCUCAACUCCGGAACUGCCUUUUAGACUGCAUCGCUUGAAUCCAGGAGAGGUGAGUGGAAUUCCGAGUGUAGAGGUGAAAUUCGUAGAUAUUCGGAAGAACACCAGUGGCGAAGGCGGCUCACUGGACUGGUAUUGACGCUGAGGUGCGAAAGCGUGGGGAGCAAACAGG